GUGAAGAACGUAGCGAAACGCGAUAAGUAAUGUGAAUUGCAGAAUUUAGUGAAUCAUCGAACUUUUGAACGCACAUUGCGCCCCCUGGUAUUCCGGGGGGCAUGCCUGUCCGAGCGUCAUUGCUGCCCUCAAGCACGGCUUGUGUGUUGGGCCUCCGUCCUCCUCCCGGGGGACGGGCCCGAAAGGCAGCGGCGGCACCGCGUCCGGUCCUCGAGCGUAUGGGGCUUCGUCACCCGCUCUUGUAGGCCCGGCCGGCGCUUGCCGACACAUCAAUCUUUUUUCCAGGUUGACCUCGGAUCAGGUAGGGAUACCCGCUGAACUUAAGCAUAUCAAUAAGCGGAGGA
rnacentral:misc_RNA from 1 species